GCUGGGGGAUGGGCUCAAGGCCAGACUGAGACUCUCCAUGCAGGAUCAUUCCUGGGGUAUCACUUGGCCCCUCACUGAACCGGUUUCUGCCUUCAAGGAAAUUGGAGGACCCGGGAGGCUCCUUGAAUACCAUGGAGAUCAGAUGUCUCCACAGCCAUUAAGCCUGAAAGAGUCAGUACUACAUCCUUGCUAAAGAAGAUAAUGGGAAGAGGACUGGUUCAAGAUAGAUGAUAUUUGUGAAACUGAAAAACAGCCUGAAGUGCAUGCCUGAGAGAAAGAUUACAAGUUCACUGUGAGGAAGAUGUGGAGCCUUCAACCCUGAGGACCACCAAAAGAUCCUCCAGAUGUCAUUGUGCAUGCUCUGUCUGGGAGGAGCUAAUGUAAAUUGUUUACUGGAACUGAUUUGGAUAAUCCUGCCUUUUCUAAGAAAUGUAAUAAAUAUGCAUAUCUAGUCUGUAUAAA